GAUGAACGCUGGCGGCGUGCUUAACACAUGCAAGUCGAACGAUUAAAGCCCCUUCGGGGGUGUAUAGAGUGGCGAACGGGUGAGUAACACGUGGGCAACCUGCCCUGCGCUUCGGGAUAACUCACGGAAACGUGAGCUAAUACCGGAUACUCCGGUCUGACCGCAUGGUCGGAUCGGGAAAGUUCCGGCGGCGCAGGAUGGGCCCGCGGCCCAUCAGCCAGUUGGUGAGGUAACGGCCCACCAAGGCGACGAUGGGUAGACGAGCUGAGAGGCUGGUCGGCCACACGGGGACUGAGACACGGCCCAGACUCCUGCGGGAGGCGGCAGUGGGGAAUUUUGCGCAAUGGGCGAAAGACUGACGCAGCAACGCCGCGUGCGGGAUGAAGGCCUUCGGGUUGUAAACCGCUUUCAGCAGGGAUGAAACUGACAGUACCUGCAGAAGAAGCCCCGGCUAACUACGUGCCAGCAGCCGCCGUAAGAC
rnacentral:rRNA from 1 species